rnacentral:rRNA from 1 species
UACAGAGGUCUCAAGCGUUGUUCGGAUUCAUUGGGCGUAAAGGGUGCGUAGGUGGCGCUGUAAGUCAGGUGUGAAAUUUCGGAGCUUAACUCCGAAACUGCAUUUGAUACUGCGGUGCUUGAGGACUGGAGAGGAGACUGGAAUUUACGGUGUAGCAGUGAAAUGCGUAGAGAUCGUAAGGAAGACCAGUGGCGAAGGCGGGUCUCUGGGCCGAUACUGACGCUGGAGGAGCGAAAGCGUGGGGAGCAAACAGG